rnacentral:rRNA from 1 species
CGUAAUCACUUGUCUUUUAAAUGGAGACCAGUAUGAAUGGCAUAACGAGGGCCAAGCUGUCUCCUUUUUCCAGUCAAUGAAAUUGAUUUUCCUGUGCAGAAGCAAGAAUAUUUACAUAAGACGAGAAGACCCUAUGGAGCUUAAGACAUAAGACAGCCCAUGUUAAAAACCCACACUUAAUGGAAGUAACCAAAUGGCCUCUGUCCACCUGUCUUUGGUUGGGGCGACCGUGGAGUAAUAAAAAACCCCCAUGUGGAAUGGGGCCUUGGCCCUUAAAGCCAGAGCCACAGCUCUAGCAAACAGAACAUCUGACCUUCAAGAUCCGGCAAGACCGAUCAACGGACCGAGUUACCCUAGGGAUAACAGCGCAAUCCCCUUUUAGAGCCCAUAUCGACAAGGGGGUUUACGACCUCGAUGUUGGAUCAGGACACCCUAAUGGUGCAGCCGCUAUUAAGGGUUCGUUUGUUCAACGAUUAAAGUCCUACGUGAUCU